rnacentral:rRNA from 1 species
GGCCCAGAUCGUUUACCGUGAAAAAAUUAGAGUGUUCAAAGCAGGCAGAUCCAAUUUUCUGCCACCGAAUACAUUAGCAUGGGAUAAUGGAAUAGGACCCUGUCCUCCUAUUUUCAGUUGGUUUUGGCACGCGAGGACCAGGGUAAUGAUUAAUAGGGAUAGUUGGGGGCAUUAAUAUUUAAUUGUCAGAGGUGAAAUUCUUGGAUUUAUGAAAGAUUAACUUCUGCGAAAGCAUCUGCCAAGGAUGUUUUCAUUAAUCAAGAACGAAAGUUAGGGGAUCGAAGACGAUCAGAUACCGUCGUAGUCUUAACCAUAAACGAUGCCGACCAGCGAUUAGGAGACGUUGAAUACAAAACACCACCAUCGGUGCGGUCGUCCUUGGCGCGUCGUGGCUUGCUGCGGCGUGCGAGGGCGAUUUAGCCUGAUGGCAUCGGUGAAUGACUCCCCUAGCAGCUUGUGAGA